GUCCCCAAUGUUGACGUGUGUCCUGCGGUUUGAUAUCUGGAGCUGAAAACGGACUUUUAAUCCGCAGGUCCCAGGUUCGAGCCCUGGUGGGGGCA
rnacentral:tRNA from 1 species